rnacentral:rRNA from 1 species
GAGUUUGAUCCUGGCUCAGGAUGAACGCUGGCGGCGUGCUUAACACAUGCAAGUCGAACGGGAGUUACUUUAUUGAAACUUCGGUCGAUUUAAUUUAAUUCGAGUGGCGGACGGGUGAGUAACGCGUGGGUAACCUGCCCUGUACAGGGGGAUAACAGUUGGAAACGGCUGCUAAUACCGCAUAAGCCCACGGUACCGCAUGGCACUGAGGGAAAAGGAUUUAUUCGCUUUAGGAUGGACCCGCGUUGGAUUAGCUUGUUGGUGGGGUAACGGCCCACCAAGGCGACGAUCCAUAGCCGGCCUGAGAGGGUGAACGGCCACAUUGGGACUGAGACACGGCCCAGACUCCUACGGGAGGCAGCAGUGGGGAAUAUUGCACAAUGGGGGAAACCCUGAUGCAGCGACGCCGCGUGAAGGAAGAAGUAUCUCGGUAUGUAAACUUCUAUCAGCAGGGAAGAUAGUGACGGUACCUGACUAAGAAGCCCCGGCUAACUACGUGCCAGCCGCCGCGGUAAUAC